ensembl:lncRNA
UUGUUUUAACCGUUUAUAUUUACAAUAUUAAGGCACAAAGUUUAAGCAGCAAAGAAUAGGAAAGUCUUUGGCUGACCAACAAUAUCCAUAGUCACUUUCAGGGGACUCCCCACUUUGCACACAGACCCAUCUACACAGAUCUGCACACCACAGAUCUGUCAAUGCGGUCCAGGAACACAGAUGCCAAAGGUUACAUGUGGAUACCAAAGUCCACUGCGAAAUGCGGCACAUGCCCCAACAGAGACACACACACAACCACACCCAUGCACACACAAGGCAGUAGAGAGGGCAGUGGCUCCAGGGCACUCAGGGUUGGGGUGAAGCUGGUACUAGUGUUGGACCCCGUUCACAGAAUUUGACACAGAUUCUGUGAGCACCUCACUGAGGAGGGGGCUCCAUUGUCCCUCCCUGGAAACAUUCAAACACAAGUACUAUGGCUACGCCUGUCCCCGUUCUGCCUUGUAAUAAAUACUCACAGGUGUGUACGUGAGGACAGACUCUCAGGCAAAGCCACAAGUAAACACAACACAGGCGGGAAAACUUGAGAAGCUGAUUCCAGAAACUGCUGUAUAUUUCCUUCCUCGGAGGGAGGGCAGAGUCUUAAUUUGGCAAAGAAGCAAAGUUUCAUGACAAAGACACAGCUCAGUCGCGGCACACACGACAAUAACAUGCACUUAAGUAUAUCCGUUUUACAGAAUACCUACUGGGUGUUCAUGUUAGCGAGUAUGUACUUAGGUCUGUAGUGUACGCAGGGGUUGCACACGUAUAAGUCCUGGCAAGAGAAGCAGCAGGCUUGGAAAUGAGGCCCUAGAGGUUGCAGGUACUAACAAACCUUUUCCUACAUCAUAGAUAUUCUUCCAAAAACUCUGUGUGUGUGUGUGUGUGUGUGUGUGUGUGUGUGCAUGUGUGUAUGUGUUUGUGUGUGUGUAUGUAUGUGUUUGUGUGUAUGUGUUGCAUGUGUAUGUGUGUGUUUAUGUGUGUGUGUGACACUUGCAUCGGCUGACUCUCUCCUGCUGCCAUGGGGUUCCUGGGGACCAAACUCAGGUCUUGGCUCUGGUUGGUGGCAGUCCCUUUUCCGUGGAGUCAUCUUGAUGGCCCUGGGAUUCUGAUUCUGACUAAUUGUUCUGUGUUCAGUCGCUUGCACUGUGAACAGCGUGGGGUAUUUCCAAAACUUAAAUCCAUUCUCAAAAGACAAUGACCUCUCACUUCAAAGGGAAUCUGAGGAAUGGGCCAGGCCUUGGAAGCCAUUCUGCUAGAGGAGUCCACAACCAUUUUACACAGUGAGCCCUGCAGUCCUCCCCAAGGAGAGAGCUCAGAGGGCAACAGAAGGACUUUUUUGGAUAUUAAGAGAAAUUCCACCGUUUAUGUAUGCAUUCACAUAUAAUGCAAUAUACCAUUAAAUUACUAAAUGAGAACAGGCAUACUACUGAAAAGAGGGAAAAAUACUGCUCUCCAAUUCCUGAAGAAAUCCACUGAACUUGGGCGCCCCUUGGAUGACUGGCUGGCUUCUGAGGGUUCUUAUUACACAGCCUAUCUCCCAUGGAGCCACACCACACACAAAUGCCUUUAAAAAAAUCCUCACAUCAACUAAAAACAUUUAAAACACACUGAUUAACUAGAAAAAAAAUAGAAGAAAGCCAACAUGUACAUACUUAGAGACUGGCUGACUCAGCUUUUAGGAAGUUACGGGGACUGACUUUUCUCUAGCACCACCAUUUAAGAACAUUUAUCAAUCUUGCUUCUAAUAUCCACAACACCCCUUUGCUUAAAGAGGGUGUGAUCUUACUCAGAGAACACAGAGAAACACACCCUACUCGUUCAGCACAGACAAAGAAGGCACCAUGUGUUCGUACAACCCAAGCUCCCAGUCAGGACAGCUUUCUGCAGCCUACGCACAAGGGACCUGCCUGGAAACACCUUGUGUCAUGGUCAUCCCCUGUCUCCCAGAUUGGCCUUAUCCGACUGCUCACACAAGUCUCUGGGACUCAGAAGGCUGUGGGGAGGACAGGACCCAGCACACUAGCUCUUGGAAAGGAGGAGUUUCAGCCACUUUAUUAAAUGUGUGGCGCAGGUGGCUGGGGCCAAGCAGGACAGAGCCUCUCUGUAGGGGACACUGCGGCUUCUUUCUUGAGUGCUGAAACCGCUGGGUUCUCUGUACUGAGGCCAGAAUUCACUUGCCUCUAAAUGCACUCACAGCAAAAGGUCAAGCCCCAUACAUGGGCUCCAAAGAGAGACUUCUCUCUGAACAACACUGGCCCCACCAUUCCUUGUCUCCACCCCUAAGGAAAGCAGGGUGUGGGGCAGUCACCGCUGAAGGCCACAGCCUUUACCUGUCCUUUAUCCCGAGAGGAGACCGUCAAGCUCUAUGAUCAAAGGCUCCAAGAGAUCUGAGGAGGAGCCCUCUGCACCACGAGGAAGGGCUUUGACUUAUUUUUAUCGGCUUUGUACUUGUGCUUGUAACAGACCGUGAAGACUUCCAUCCACGCCUGUGGAUGGCAGUGGUAUGGUUAGUUAUAUGGGGUUUGGGUUUAGUCCUGUUUUCAGGCCCCGAGAGGAGCGUCAGCUUCCCUAUGUGCACACAAGUGUCACAAGUUGGGCCACCGAUCACCCAGGCAUAGUUCUAGAUAUCAUGUUCAAGGCUGUGCAGCCUGUGACUGAGACUCCUCUUCUGAGUCUUUGCUUUAAGUGCUAGCCUCUGUGUCAAGCUUGGAGGUGGGCUGGUACACCUCACGGGUCCAGCUUCUGCAUCUGAGCAAUCAGGAGAGUGAACUCGGCCUCGUUUCCCUGAUGCUGUGAGGGCCAUUCAACGGGUACUUUUUCUAGUGCUUGCACAGUCAGUACCAAAGUACCUAUGCAGUACUGUUGUUCCCGGUGUUGAAGGAGUUCAGGUCCCAUGAACUUCCCGGAGUACAACAUGGCUUCUGAGUGCCUGGGGCUCACGCUUCAAGAGAAUUACAAGGACAGAAGACUGAAGGGCCUCGACCUUAAAGACAUAGCCUCUCUCUUCUUCAACAUGGAUUCUUAGGCAAAAUCUACACUCCACAUGCAGUUAAAGCCUAGUCUGCGCCCCCUUUGCUUUUGAACAACUGAAACGUACUAACAGUAUGGGGGAGAAGGUAUGGGGGAGGGGGUAUGGGGGAGAGGGUAUGGGGGAGAGGGUAUGCUGGAACAGGAGAUUUCCUGUCCAAGUGUACAAUGUGUCUGGAACACUUAGACUAGAAUUUGAGUAAGGGGCAGUGCCCCACUCCUAUGCUGGGAGACAGCCUAAGUUUGGGGUGGCUCAGACAUUGCUCCAGGGCUGGAAUAUCUCAUUAAUUACCCAUCUCUAUACCCUUCCCUUUCUGGGUUGUCUCCAACAUUAACUGGAGACAAUAUGCUCUUAAGAGAAUUAGUUGCCGUCAACCAAACAACAUGCCCUAUCCAAAAUGAUUCCUACACCCACCUGCUUCAUCUUCCAGC